GAGGCGAGCUCUUCGGAGAAGCCCAUGCUCAGAAGCUGCUCCAUCGCCAUUGCUCUGCCUCUUCUUCUGCGGCGGUGGUGGGGUUGCCGGUAGCGCGGGAAAUAAUCACAUGGCGGGAAGGAAGGAAGAAAGCUUUUAACACUCAAACAGUGGAGACUAGAUGCUUGAGGAAAAAUUGUAGAAUGCAAUGGGUAUAGAUCAUCCAAGAAGCUGAGAUAAUUGGAAAUUCUUGUGGAUACAUGAACAUUGAGGAUGAAGAUGAUGGGUUUGAGUUAAUACGAAAUGAUACAGAAGGGAUUACUAUAGAUGCUGAUGAGUUGAAUAUUGAUUUGCUUAAUAUCAAUGAUAGUUUAGAUGAAUAAGCUAAUAUUAAUUAAUUUCAGGUCCAGGCAACGGUAGUAGUCGUGGACUUGGAAUGAAUCGAAGACUCGAGCAACUUUGAAGUAUAGACUGUUUCCAUGUAGACAAGAAGUUUUGUGCAAAUGAUGUAUCUAUAGACAAGAAGUUUUGCCUGGACCUAAUCAAGCAAUUUUUCAAAUCCUUCCAGUUAAUAGGUGCUCUGCUACUAUUGCCGGUAUGUAUCUAUAGAUUUCAUUUGUUCAAUUCUGCUACUAUUGCCGGUAUGUAUCUAUAGAUUUCAUUUCUAAUUUAAAGCAUAUUACUUUA